ACUUUAAGAACGUGCAGGCCUCAGGAGGCCUUGCUGUGCUUGAGUCCUUCAUUGCUAUGAGCUGUAACUAGGAGAGAUACCCAGAUAGUGUGUACCUCUCAGAGGGCACCUGUUCCCACUGCAUGGAGAUCCGCAAUGCCAGACUUCCAGGGUUUGAACUGGUGAUCGUUUGGAGGAUACAAAUAGAUGAGGAAGGGAAGGUUUUUCCAAAGCUGGAUCUUCUCACCAAAGUCCCAGAGCAAGCCCUAGAAAUGGACAAGAACAGAGUCAUAGAAACUGCUCCUCUCAGUUUCCGAAGCCUGCUAGGUGUACUUGGUAUUGAAGCUGCUCUAGACAGCCUGAUAAGAUUGUUCAAUACAGACAAGUAGUUCCCCGCUGGCAAACUCAGGAAUAAGAUGCGAUGCUGGGAUGAGGAGAUUCGCAGUAUGUUGAACAUGAACACUUCUCUUUUCCAGCUAGAAACCACAUCCUUCAGAUGACAGGCAUUUGUUGCAUUAGUGGUAUAUUACGUAUGAACUCCCAUGGCAUAAAAAUAAAGCUGUUCAGAUACGUUAAAAGC
rnacentral:lncRNA from 1 species